rnacentral:lncRNA from 1 species
AUUAGAUCUAUGAGAGUUUGUUUCUAAGGUAUCUUAAAGAGUUUAAGGAAUACUACUUUUAACUUUCCAAAGAAUCACAAUAUGAUUGUAACCCGAUAUGCUAUGUUCUUGAAAAAAUAAUUUAUCCAAGAUGAAAAUAAUGGAAGAAAAAUUGAGCUCAAAGAGAGUUUCUAAAAAGCAAUGACUCAUAAAACCUAUAGGACCUAUUCAUAAUUGAGUCAGUACAUGUAGUACCUCCUCCACCUCA